rnacentral:rRNA from 1 species
CCUACGGGAGACAGCAGUGAGGAAUAUUGGUCAAUGGGCGAGAGUCUGAACCAGCCAAGUAGCGUGAAGGAUGACUGCCCUAUGGGUUGUAAACUUCUUUUAUAAAGGAAUAAAACGAGGCACGUGUGCCUUUUUGCAUGUACUUUAUGAAUAAGGAUCGGCUAACUCCGUGCCAGCAGCCGCGGUAAUACGGAGGAUCCGAGCGUUAUCCGGAUUUAUUGGGUUUAAAGGGAGCGUAGAUGGGUUGUUAAGUCAGUUGUGAAAGUUUGCGGCUCAACCGUAAAAUUGCAAUUGAUACUGGCAGUCGUGAGUACAGUUGAGGUAGGCGGAAUGCGUGGUGUAGCGGUGAAAUGCUUAGAUAUCACGAAGAACCCCGAUUGCGAAGGCAGCUUACUAAACUGUGACUGACAUUGAUGCUCGAAAGUGUGGGUAUCAAACAGGAUUAGAUACCCGAGUAGUC